AUUGAAAGAGGUUUAGCGUAAGAAACAGCAAUUUUUUUUUUCAUUUUGUUCUCUGCCCUUGUUGGAAAAAAAAAAGGUUACUGUUCGGGUUACUGUUCACGCUCAAUUUCGAUUUUUUUCCUUCAAUUUUCUAUCGUAGUUGCCACCAAAAAAAAAAAUUACUGUUCACAGGCGGAAAUUUCAGUUUAUGGUUUUUCUGCAAUUUCAGUUUCCCCCUCACCAAAAAAAAUAAAAAAAAAUCGUGUUACUGUUCACACCCAGGAUUCCAAAUUCUUUAUUUUCUUUCUAUAGUAAAAAAAAAAAAAAAAAGGUAUUUUCUAACAUUGUUUUGCAAAUACCUCUUCCUGUUCUGUUGAUCAAUCCAGUCGCUUCGAUGAACAAAAAGGGGAGUUAUCAUUCUAUUUAUCUUUGGUACAUUACUGUUUAUCUUAGAAAUUGCAUCAAUUAAAUUUUUCUGCUGCUGCUGCUGCUGCUGAUCUAGCUGUUUAUCUAAACUCACGAAUUGGACCCAUUCACUUCGAUAAGUUCCACUUUUACCUCACUUAUUUUACGUGAUUAGAGUUUGACUAGUAUUUGACCCUUACUUUGCUAUUUUACUUAUACCAACAGUAUUAGCU
rnacentral:lncRNA from 1 species